AGUCGUAACAAGGUUUCCGUAGGUGAACCUGCGGAAGGUCCAUUACAAAUAAAGGCUGGUAGGAAGUGGGGGCUUGAUCUGUAAGUGGUAGAGCGAACGUCCGGCUGGCCUCCCGAAAUGUCUUACAUGUCCCCCCACAGCCUGAAGGCCGAAUUACAACCCUUGAUUAUCUACACUUAUUGUUUUGGGUGCUCAAGUGCCCCAGAGGACCCAACUCUCCUGCAUUUAGUGACGUCUGAGUACUAUAUAAUAUUUAAAA
rnacentral:misc_RNA from 1 species